rnacentral:rRNA from 1 species
UACGGAGGGUGCAAGCGUUAUCCGGAUUCACUGGGCUUAAAGGGUGCGUAGGUGGUCAGGUAAGUCAGUGGUGAAAUCUCCAAGCUUAACUUGGAAACUGCCGUUGAUACUAUCUGUCUUGAAUAUUGUGGAGGUGAGCGGAAUAUGUCAUGUAGCGGUGAAAUGCUUAGAUAUGACAUAGAACACCAAUUGCGAAGGCAGCUCACUACUCAAUCAUUGACUCUGAGGCACGAAAGCGUGGGGAUCAAACAGG